rnacentral:rRNA from 1 species
UGGGGAAUUUUGCACAAUGGGCGAAAGCCUGAUGCAGCAACGCCGCGUGUGUGAUGAAGGUCUUCGGAUUGUAAAGCACUUUCGGCCGAGACGAAAACCUGUUGGCUAACAUCCAGCAGCUUGACUGUAUCGGAAGAAGAAGCACCGGCUAACUCUGUGCCAGCAGCCGCGGUAAUACAGAGGGUGCAAGCGUUGUUCGGAAUUAUUGGGCGUAAAGCGCGUGUAGGCGGCUUUGCAAGUCGGGUGUGAAAGCCCUCAGCUUAACUGAGGAAGUGCGCCCGAAACUGCAUUGCUUGAGUACCGGAGAGGGUGGCGGAAUUCCCGAAGUAGAGGUGAAAUUCGUAGAUAUCGGGAGGAACACCGGUGGCGAAGGCGGCCACCUGGACGGAUACUGACGCUGAGACGCGAAAGCGUGGGUAGCAAACAG